GUGUUUAUAAUUAAAAUAGGAAGACUUACCGAUUUCCACUCGGCGUGUGUCAGUUCAAAUCUGACUAUCCGUA
rnacentral:tRNA from 1 species